GGAUUACCAUCACACCCAUCCAUGAAGAUAACCCCAAGGCUCAUGGUUCUGUGCAAAAGGAGUAGAUAUCUGAACAAGAUUUUGACUCUAUUGGGAGCAAAAGAGGAUGAUGGUUGCUGGGAAGGUUACCAACAAAGAUCACUACACUGGCCCAACUUACUGUUGACACAGUAAAGUGUCCCGCACUUGUAUGCUAGGAUUAUUAUCACAGAUUUGGCUUCUGACACACUCAUUGCUUUGGAGAGGAUGGUUAAGUCAGAAAAAAGACUUUUGAGACUCAAAAUUCUGGACCCCGAUUCUGCUUGGAGCCAAGAUAAAGUUGUGUUUGCUCCAGGUUAUCGGCAUUGUGCCUGCACUGAAUAAAAACAAGCAGCUCCAACUUCUCAGGGCUGCUCUCUGGCCACUAGAGCCAGGCAGUCACCUAGCUGCUGUUAUGCUGCAUACCUGUCUCUGAGUACUCGCUUCAUCCAUCGGCCAGGGUCUGUGGGACAGACCAGGCAGGUGGUGCCCCAUGUGAGGAACGCUGCAAUGGAUUGCAAGGGAACCCCUGAAAACAAAUGUGAAGUGACUGAGCAGUGUUAACCUUAGAAGACUAGAACCUAAUGAGUUAUGGCAAACAGAUGUUAUGCACGUCCCUGAAUUUGGAAAACUAAGGUCCUCUUUGGAUUCCAGCACGAGGCAUCAAACCAUACCAUGGCAUGGCUAGGACCCAACCCGGUACCAAAAUGAAGAAAAUGACCCUACAGGACCCACAAUCCCGGAUGAUGUGGCUUCCUUGGAUGACACAGGCCCUGGACAUUACCUGGGGGAUGCUGAAGAAGACAACUCAGGAGGCCAAGCAAAUCCUGCUCCAGGCACAGACACCAUUCACUCCAGGAAGCUGCCAUUCAUUCGACAUAAGUAGGUGCUUCAUCUGAUAAGCGCUGCUUGUGUAAUUUAUCAAUGACAGAGAAGGCAGAUAGCAGCAUGCAUACUUGGGGCUGCAUUUGAAGGAGAGCAACAUCCCUUUGUUUUCACAGAGGAGAACAAGCAUGAGUUGAGAUUGUGGUGCUUCUUGAAGUCUCAUCCAGAUCAGAAACCUGCUGCUCUGUCCACAUUCCAUCCACCAAAGCAACCCAUAUGGCCAUGUCCAGCAUCAGAUGGGGAAAGGCAGUUCUCCUCUAGCACGAGGAGCUGCAAAGCCACAUGGCAAAGGAUGAGUGUGUAAAAAAUAAAUGCAGGAGGGCAGGAGGCAUUGGGAACAA
rnacentral:lncRNA from 1 species